rnacentral:siRNA from 1 species
AUUUUACAAUGCCAAGGAGAACUC